CUGGUGGUGGUGGUGUGGUUAGGGGGUAUGACUCCUCCCCAGGGUGGUGGUGGGGUUAGGGGUAUGACUCCUCCCCAGGGUGGUGGUGGGGUUAGGGGGUAUGACUCCUCCCCAGGGUGGUGGUGGUGGUGGUGGUGUGGUUAGGGGGUGUGACUCCUCCCAGGGGUGGUGGUGGGGUUAGGGGGUAUGACUCCUCCCCAGGGUGGUGGUGGGGUUAGGGGUAUGACUCCUCCCCAGGGUGGUGGUGGUGGUGGUGUGGUUAGGGGGUGUGACUCCUCCCCAGGGUGGUGGUGGGGUUAGGGGGUAUGACUCCUCCCCAGGGUGGUGGGGGUGGGGUUAGAGGUUAUGACUCCUCCC
ensembl:lncRNA